UUAAAGGAAUUAGACGGGACCCCGCACAAGCGGUGGAUCAUGUUGUUUAAUUCGAUGAUACGCGAAGAACCUUACCAGGUCUUGACAUCCCCCGCGAUGCUUUAGAGAUAAAGCGGAGGUAUUCGGGGAGACAGGUGGUGCAUGGUUGUCGUCAGCUCGUGUCGUGAGAUGUUGGGUUAAGUCCCGCAACGAGCGCAACCCCUAUUGCUAGUUACCAUCAUUAAGUUGGGGACUCUAGCGAGACUGCCAGUGAUAAACUGGAGGAAGGUGGGGAUGACGUCAAAUCAUCAUGCCCCUUAUGACCUGGGCUACAAACGUGAUACAAUGGCUGGAACAAAGGGAUGCGAAGCAGUGAUGUGGAGCGAAACCCAUAAAAACAGUCUCAGUUCGGAUUGAAGUCUGCAACUCGACUUCAUGAAGUCGGAAUCGCUAGUAAUCGCGGAUCAGAACGCCGCGGUGAAUACGUUCUCGGGGUUU
rnacentral:rRNA from 1 species